UACGGAGGGGGCUAGCGUUGUUCGGAAUUACUGGGCGUAAAGCGCACGUAGGCGGCUUUUCAAGUCAGAGGUGAAAGCCCGGGGCUUAACUCCGGAAUUGCCUUUGAAACUGGAUGGCUGGAACACGGGAGAGGUGAGUGGAAUUCCGAGUGUAGAGGUGAAAUUCGUAGAUAUUCGGAAGAACACCAGUGGCGAAGGCGGCUCACUGGACCGUUGUUGACGCUGAGGUGCGAAAGCGUGGGGAGCAAACAGG
rnacentral:rRNA from 1 species